GGGUCAGUAGGUUGGUCGUGCCACCGGUACGUACUGGUCUCACUGAUUCCUCCUUCCUGAAGAACCGUAAUGCCAUUAAUUUGGUGUUGCGGGGAAACAGGACUGUUACUUUGAAAAAAUUAGAGUGUUUAAAGCAAGCUAACGCUUGAAUACAUUAGCAUGGAAUAAUGAAUUAGGACGAUCGAUCCUGUUUUGUUGGUUUCUAGGAUUGACGUA
rnacentral:rRNA from 1 species